CUUUGCUGUACAAGUUUAGGUUGCAAACGUGAAGUGACUUGGUCAAAUGCUUCCUCUUAAAAAAACAAUCCCUUCAGAGAGAAAACUGGCAUGCCAGGAGGAAAGCUAGGCCACACCUGUAUUCUUACAGGCCUGAUUUUCACCCACAUUUCAAAGUGGUACAGCCCACCCAUGACUGCACCACCUUCUUCUUCUUCUUCUGGAUCUUUAAAUCAGCCUCUAAAGCUGUCUCAAAUGGGUCCUCAAGGUGUAAAUCUCCUGCGUAAAGAUUGGACUGAUCCAGCGGGAUCUUUUUCGUUCUUUUGUGUAUUCAUGGUUAUUUGUGCUUAUUAGGGUUUAAGAGCAGUUCUGUGCUUUCAAUGUUGUUUGCACCAGCAGACGCUUCUAGAUGGACAUACUGCUUUGCAGUGCUUUUCUCUUUUUUUAGAACAAAAUGGUGCCAGUACUCACCAUGAAGUUGUAAGUUCCACACUUAGGGGAGGGGAGGUGCCGAUUCCCACCCACAGCAUUGCAAAUGCACCUGGGCGGCACUUUUGACUUAUGUGCAACAGCUGUGGCAAAACGCUGCAACAAAAAACAGGCCAGCAGUUUGUUUCAUUCCAGGCUGGGAUGAUCAUUGCCUGCACUGCACUCCACCAUAAGGCUCUAUGUCAGCUGAUGUAAGUAUCGGCAGGGACCUGAGCUAAGAACCUCCUUGGCUAAAUUCUGCUGAGGCCAAAAUUCAUUGAGGCUUCCUCUGCCUACCAUUACCUCUGCCUUUUGUUAUUCCUGGCUCUGUCUACUUUUUGCAGACCUGUUUUCCAAGAACAGCCCCAGAUUUACAGAAGCCAUCCCAGUUUCUGAUUUGAUCCCAGAUUUUCCUUAGGUUGUCCCUAUUUUCAUUAGAGAAAUGGAGGGCAUGGAGUUAUGCGCCAUCUGAAGGCAGCCCUGUAUGGGGAAUUUCUAAAAUGUUUUAAAUUUUACUAUGUUUUUAUAUAUGUUGGAAGCUGCUUAGAUUGGCUGGGGCAACCCAGUCAGAUGGGUGGGGCAUAAAUAAUAAAAUUAUUAUUGUUAUUAUUAUUAUUAUGGAAAAUGAUCUCCCCAUUUUCAUUGGUGAAAUGUUGGAGGGUAUGCUUUCUGUUGCUCUGACCUCUGCCCCGAGAGCCCCCAAUAGUGACCACCAGCAACCCAUGCCUGAUAUCUAAAAGGAUCAGGUGGGAAAGACCUGAAAUUAGGGAUGUCAGAGAAUUCUGAUGAAAACAGAAACCAGAGAGGAAAAUGCUGGUGUUCCCAUGGCUCUGUCUCCACAGGCAGAGGCAAUGAUGCUUCUGGAUACCAGUUGCUGGAAACCACAGGAGAGGAGGGAGAGCUUGUGCCAACUGGUCCUGCUUGCCAGUUUUCUGGCCACUGAGAACAAGAAGCUAGGCUAGAUGCAGGAUUGGCCUGAUCCAGGAGGUUCUUCUUAUGUUCAGGUUCAUCCUACAUCCAGAACAGAAAUCAGUCCAGUGAGUAUUCACUGUUGCUGCUUUCAGUCUACAAAUAAUACACGACUGAUUGAGUCAUUUGCACCGUGUUUCCUUUGCACUGAAAUGAAUGGAGCAGAAUAAUGCAAUUACAAUUGUGCUGCAGCAGCCAGCAAGUAGUUUUUUGGCAGAAGAGGAACUACAGUGGAAUGCAACAAACACAGGGCAGAACAGGAAAUGGUGCCUAAGAUCCUACUUGAGAUUCCUGAUCAGCACCCUCCUCCCCAGGUUCCCAUUUAAAGUUUAAAAAGGCCAAAGGGUACAGCCGACUUGAUGCAUAGUUCAGUCCUAAGUCCAUUAAUCACAUGGCUUUUAGUCAACUGACUGAUCACAUUUGCAUAAGAUAAAAGUGAUAAUUAUAAGGGGGGAAAUGUCCACUUCAUUUAAAUGUCACAGCAGGUAUAAUCUUAAAAGGGUCACUUCCCUCUUCUGAGAUUGGCUAUGUAAAUUCUACAAGUUUGUGUGUGUGUGUGUGUGUACACACACACACAUACACACACACACACACACACACAAUGUGACCAUUCAGGGGACCUUUUCAGCCAAUCCAAAUAGUUUAAAAGCUUUAUUUAAAAAUAAUAAUAAUAUUAAGUUUUCCAUUUUAAUAAUCCAAUAAAAACCACAUUUAAACAUUCCAAAUUACAAUACAAUAAAAAAGCCAGUUAUAGGUGGCAAAUUAUAUAUCUUUGGGUGACCCAUGCUCUGAAUUUCGCGAAGUGCUGAUCAUCUUAAUUAGUCAAUAAACCAUUCCGAUGUUAA